rnacentral:rRNA from 1 species
GACGAACGCUGGCGGCGUGCUUAACACAUGCAAGUCGAACGGUGAACCGGGCUUCGGCCCGGGGAUCAGUGGCGAACGGGUGCGUAACACGUGGGCAACCCUGCCCCAGACACUGGGAUAACCCCGGGAACCGGGGCUAAUACCGGAUACUCUCAGCCGACCGCAUGAUCGGCUGAGGAAAGCUCCGGCGGUCUGGGAUGGGCCCGCGGCCUAUCAGCUUGUUGGUGGGGUAACGGCCUACCAAGGCGACGACGGGUAGCUGGUCUGAGAGGACGGCCAGCCACACUGGGACUGAGACACGGCCCAGACUCCUACGGGAGGCAGCAGUGGGGAAUCUUGCACAAUGGCGCAAGCCUGAUGCAGCGACGCCGCGUGGGGAUGAAUGCCUUCGGGUUGUAACCCUUUACGGCAGGGACGAAGCGAAAGUGACGGUACCUGCAGAAGAAG